UAGAGUUGCAAAACUCCCUAAACCCACGUGAACAUACCUGAAGUUUGUUGCUUUGGCAGGCGGCCCCAGGGCGGGGCCUGACGCUUCUCGCGAGGCGGUCUGCCAGAGGACCAAAAACUCUGAUGUCUCUGUACUACUCUGAGUUAAAUCUUGAAUCAGUCA
rnacentral:misc_RNA from 1 species